AUGGUUGUGCUUUAUCGAGAGUCACGGCCGUGCCUUUCGGAAACGAAAAAAAAACGCGUUUUCUGUUUUUUUUUCGCGAGAGUCACGGUUUUUGCUUCCGCGAGAGGCACGGUUGUGCUUUCGCGAGAGUCACGGCCGUGCCUCUCGGAAAGGGAAAAACAAAACGCGUUUUCUUUUUUUUUUCUUUCGCGAGAGUCACGGUUUUGCUUUCGCGGGAGGCACGGUUGUGCUUUCGCGAGAGUCACGCCCGUGCCUCUCGGAAACGAAAAAAAAACGCGUUUUCUGUUUUUUUUCUUCCACGAGAGUCACGGUUUUGCUUCCACGAAAGGCACGGUUGUGAUUUCGCGAGAGGCACGGGCGUGCCUCUUUCGGAAAGGGAAAAAACCGUGCUCCCGGUUCGGUUUUUUCGCCUGA
rnacentral:rRNA from 1 species